GAAAUGCGAUAACUAGUGUGAAUUGCAGAAUUCCGUGAAUCAUCGAGUCUUUGAACGCACAUUGCGCCCCCUGGUAUUCCGGGGGGCAUGCCUGUCCGAGCGUCAUUGCUGCCCAUCAAGCACGGCUUGUGUGUUGGGUCGUCGUCCCCUCUCCGGGGGCGACGGGCCCCAAAGGCAGCGGCGGCACCGCGUCCGAUCCUCGAGCGUAUGGGGCUUUGUCACCCGCUCUGUAGGCCCGGCCGGCGCUUGCCGAACGCAAAUCAAUCUUUUUCCAGGUUGACCUCGGAUCAGGUAGGGAUACCCGCUGAACUUAAGC
rnacentral:misc_RNA from 1 species